UUGAGGCUAUAGGUGAUUUUUCUUGAGGCUUUCGAAGAAGCUACAAGGGCGUUCUCAGCUGAUAGAUAUCCUACAGCACACACUUUUUUGGAUAAUGUUCUUUGCAUUCAUGAAGCUUUAAAAAAUUCAGAAAUGCAAGCUAAUGAAGCCAUACAAAAUUUGGGUAGAGCAAUGGAAAGCAAAUUCAGCAAGUAUUGGGAUGGGAACUAUAAUAUGACCCUUGUUAUUGCAACGGUACUUGAUCCAAGAAAGAAGAUGGACUUCUUGGAAUUCUUUUAUCAGAGGGUGUGCAACUACUUUGUUGAUAUUGAGACAAGCAUGACUUCAGCUAGAGAAUGGAUGACUAAGUAUUUUAGGAAAUAUGAAGAGAUUGUUAGGACAAAUGGUGUAGAUCUAGUGUAUACUACUGGUAUCUAGAGGCAUUAUGGGUUCGCCUGUGCUAGCUAAAAGAAGAAUGCACCAAGAGUUUGCCCACUUUAGAAAUCAAAAGAGAGCUAGCAAUUCUCAAAAAUCAGAACUUGAUGCAUAUCUGGAAGAUGAACAUGUGAGAGAUGAUAAAAACUUUGAGAUCUUGAGUUGGUGGAAGACAAAUAAAGACAAGUAUCAUGUCCUAUCAACCAUGGCACGAGACUUCCUUGCAAUUCCAUUGAGCAUUGUGUCUUCCGAGUCCGCAUUUAGUUUGAGUGACCGGAUUCUUAGUGAUAAUCGGAGUUCAAUGACACCUGAAACCCUUGAAGCCCUUGUUUGUGUUAAGGAUUGGCUGUAUAAGCUCCCAGGCAAUGAAGACUGCUCUCUGAUUGUGGUUGACUAGCACAGGUCAGUACAUUAUUGGUUACUAGAGGGGGCAAACUUGUAUCUCUGUUUACCAUUAUUGUGCUGUAAAGUUUUUUUUCUUUUGUUGCAUUUACCUGAACUGUCAAUGCUUUGAUUUUAUCUGUUCUCAAUGCUAUCAUUGCUUGCUGUAAAUCUGUAGGUUCCUAUAUUUCCAAUUGUGAUAAUUUGAAUCAUGUCUGAAUUGUCAGGGCCAGCAGCAGGAACUAAGGGUUCAAAGAAGGUUGUCCAACAGUCUCCAAGGGCUCAGGUUCAGUGGAAGAUAUCAUGUUCGAUAGCAUGAAGUAUGAAGAAAAUGGAUCCAAUCAAUGAGGACCUCUUGAUGCUCGAUACAAAUUGUCUAGUAAAGCUAGUGUUUAUCAGACCAAAAGACAGCUAGUGUUUACUGACUUCUGCAAUAAUUGGCAUGUAACAACUAUAAACUAUGUUUGACUUUGGUAGAGGCUAAAUGUUCCUGACGAUGCAUUAGUAUAACUUGUCUGUGUUAUGUGUGUAACAUUUGUUUGGCAGAAACUAAGUGAGAUGACAUAUUGACAUGUAAGAACUAUAAACGUGGCUUGCUUGUUUGUGUGUAACUUAUGUUAGCCUUGCUUGUUUGUGUGUAA